rnacentral:rRNA from 1 species
UGCGAACUCCUACGGGAGGCAGCAGUGGGGAAUAUUGCACAAUGGGCGCAAGCCUGAUGCAGCGACGCCGCGUGGGGGAUGACGGCCUUCGGGUUGUAAACUCCUUUCAACCAUGACGAAGCUUUUGUGACGGUAGUGGUAGAAGAAGCACCGGCUAACUACGUGCCAGCAGCCGCGGUAAUACGUAGGGUGCGAGCGUUGUCCGGAAUUACUGGGCGUAAAGAGCUCGUAGGUGGUUUGUCGCGUCGUCUGUGAAAUUCCGGGGCUUAACUCCGGGCGUGCAGGCGAUACGGGCAUAACUUGAGUAUUGUAGGGGAGACUGGGAUUCCUGGUGUAGCGGUGAAAUGCGCAGAUAUCAGGAGGAACACCGAUGGCGAAGGCAGGUCUCUGGGCAGUUACUGACGCUGAGGAGCGAAAGCAUGGGUAGCGAACGGGAUUAGAAACCCUAGUAGUCCAGAUG